UCCAGAAGAGAAUAGAUUGAAAACCUCGCU
rnacentral:piRNA from 1 species